rnacentral:lncRNA from 1 species
GGACUUUUGGUAUAGCAUUGGAAAUGUAAAUGAGCUAAAUACCUAAUAAAAAAUGGAAAAAAAAAAAAAAGAAGUACUAACAAACUAUAUUUUAGUUUAUAAAUGCUCUAGAACAUAAGAAAGAGAUAUCUUGUCUGUCUUUUUUUUUUUUUUUUUUUUCUCUUUCAAUCCAGCUCAGUAUAGAUUGUACAUCAGACCUCCGAGUGACUGGAAGUGAGUAGAAAGAGCUUGCUCCCAUGGGCACAUGCCAGCAUCCCUGUGCCACAGGAUGUCCCAGGCCCACCUAGCCGGUGUCCCCACUAGCUGCCCCAGGCAGGUUGCGUAGUGACUGAGAUGCUACCUCUGAAUUUUAACUUCUGAUUACUUAGAAAAACAAGCACAGUGUCUCUAUGUUGCAGUCUAUCUUCCUCUUUAAUGAGAGUAUGUGACAAGUUCAGAAGCUUGGGCCUCAUCUAGAUUCUGAGUGGUUUAUUUUCAUCAUUUCUACGUGGUUUUACACAUAACUUCUAUUUAUGGCAAGUGACAGUGUUUUCAUUCUUGGUAGUUAUUUAAAGACUAAAACCAAUUUAGGUUUUAAAAAGUGAAAGUAGAUUAAAACCAAACAGACAAACCAAACC